UCGCAUGUUUGUUAUUGCAAAAAUCUUCAAAUUAGAACACUAUGUUCUAAUUCGUGUUCUCUUUUUCGUGUCGUUGUCGUCUUUCAUUGAAUGACGACGGCAUCUCGCGGCGAGGCGCUGGGUUUGGCGCUGGCGCUGCUCUGCAUCUGCGCCGCAGCGGCGCCGGCUCCCUCGGAAGACGCGGCGUGCACACGAACCUUUGCCGACGUUGACAGCGACAGUCAUCGAUGUCCGAGCUCAUGCACUGUUUAUGGGAACACCUCGCACCCCACGACGUACAGAGGACGCUC